UACGGAAGGUCCGGGCGUUAUCCGGAUUUAUUGGGUUUAAAGGGAGCGUAGGCCGGAGAUUAAGCGUGUUGUGAAAUGUAGAUGCUCAACAUCUGCACUGCAGCGCGAACUGGUUUCCUUGAGUACGCACAAAGUGGGCGGAAUUCGUGGUGUAGCGGUGAAAUGCUUAGAUAUCACGAAGAACUCCGAUUGCGAAGGCAGCUCACUGGAGCGCAACUGACGCUGAAGCUCGAAAGUGCGGGUAUCGAACAGGAUUAGAAACCCCUGUAGUGACUACU
rnacentral:rRNA from 1 species